CACAGACUGUCCCUCCUUGAUCUCGAUCAAAGCUGCAACAUAGGUCUCCUCGUCCUUCUUAAAUCCUUUCUUCAAUUGAAUAGCAGACAUCAUCUCAGGUUGUCCCUUACCACCAUCCUUUGCCCUCAAAGCUUGCACGAAGCAAGGUUGCUUCUCUUCCAACACCAUCAACCCACCAAGGUGUGGGAUCAGGGCCACCUUGGCCCUUAAGAGAAAGUCUACACCAAUGAUCAAGUCAAAAUCGUCCAAAGGUACACAGAGUAAACUACACGUACCCUUCCAGUCACCGAUCUGCAUAGGGACAUUCUUGGCUACCCCGUGAAUCUUCUGGGCUUUGCUAUUGACUGCCUUGAUCCGACUGGUGUCCUCCUCCAAUUUAAGUCCCAACCUGGUUGCUUCUCUAGUGGCAACGAAAUUGUGAGUGGCACCAUUGUCCACCAAGGCCUUCACUUGCA
rnacentral:lncRNA from 1 species